AUUGAACGCUGGCGGCAGGCCUAACACAUGCAAGUCGAACGAGUGGCGGACGGGUGAGUAAUGCUUGGGAAUCUGCCUUAUGGAGGGGGAUAACUACUGGAAACUGUAGCUAAUACCGCAUACCAUCGGAUGUGCCCAGAUGGGAUUAGGUAGUUGGUGGGGUAAAGGCUCACCAAGGCGACGAUCCCUAGCUGGUCGGAGAGGAUGACCAGCCACACUGGAACUGAGACACGGUCCAGACUCCUACGGGAGGCAGCAGUGGGGAAUAUUGCACAAUGGGCGCAAGCCUGAUGCAGCCAUGCCGCGUGGAUGAAGAAGGCCUUCGGGUUGUAAAGUACUUUCAGCAGGGAGGCGUUACCUGCAGAAGAAGCACCGGCUAACUCCGUGCCAGCAGCCGCGGUAAUAC
rnacentral:rRNA from 1 species